CUGACUUUGAGUGAAGAAAGAAGGGACUCCUCUGGAAUUUCCUAAGGAAUUUAUUCGGACAGCCCAUGGUAAGUGCAGAUUUUUGUACACAGAGAUAUGUACAUAUAUAUACAUAUAUUUUUAAAAAAAGCUUCACGUUUGAGAAGACACCCAGCUAUCCAUUACUAAGUUGAUCUCUUUGAAUGAAAAAUAACAACACGAAGCGCAUCGCUCAUUUUUUUAUUUUCCUUUUUUAUCUACAGUUGCGAGGGCUUUGCAUUCUUCCGCCUGGGUAUAGAAUGUGACCAACCAUUCCACACUAGGGAAAUUCGGAGGAGUUCUGUUCUUUCGUCGCUCUGGUCCGAGGCAGCAAUCGCAGCUGAUUAUUCCAAACGGGUGGGGGCAAAGGGGGCAUUAAUUUCACUGGUGUGUCGGUGAGGUAAAACCGCAGCAUCGGGCAGCAUGUUGGCACCUGCGUGAUCCCACCAAAGAAGCCUCGUUACUCGGUGAGUCGGAUAAAUGUUCUUUCAGUUCAUGCAAGGGCGUCUGUUUUUGGAUUUUCUAUAUUAAACCUAACCUUUUUGUCAGCUCACUUUUGAAUUAGUUCGUUGUCAUUCAUCUUAAUGAUAAAAGAAGCAGCAGAAUCUCUCUCACAACUUUAAGCUGCUAAUGGAUAAAACUGCAGCAGAAGCUCUCCACACCACGUCAUUGACUUUGUUUUUAAUUGAGUUGUGGCAUUUGAGAAGUAUAAAAGGAGGAAUAUGAUAAGGUUAUUUUUUUGCUAAUUUUUCCCAUGUGUUCAUUUUUUGUGUUAUUCGUUACAGAACAUGCAGAGUACACUUGAACUUUUUAUUUAAAAUAAUAUAAAGUCCAUCUGAAUCUUUAAAGAAAACUACAAAAUGUUUGAAGAAUUAGCCUAAACUCUUUUACUCCUGCAUUUCAAGACACUAAAGGUUUUACUACAAUGUAUGGCUGCACAGAUUUCUCAAAAUGAAAACAAUUUGAAAACAGUUACUUUAAAAUAUAUGUGAAAUGGGACAAGAUUUAGUGAUUUAAGGAUGAUAACAAGUAAGUGCAAAGUUGUGCAUCAUCAGCAUAGAGUUGGUUUAAUCAGCUUUGUACAUACUGCAAAAAUGCUUAACAUCUAAAAUGAAUAUUAACUAUGUCAUAAUUCAACACAGAAAAAAACAAUGACUCCACUCAGUUUUAUGCCUCAAUUAAAUUUGGUUUAAAAAAGCUAGCUGAUCGCUGGUUGCUUGUGAGUGUAAAUGAGAUGUUAGUGUUGCAAAACUGAAGUAAUAAAAAUCUUUUAUUGUCUGUUUUAGGAGUAAAAAAGGCAAAAAGCGGGUUAUUUUAGCUCUUUGUUCGGUGGUUGCCGGGCAAUAUAAUGACCGUAAUAUCUGAUAUAGAUAAGAACUACUGAAGCCUAAGAUGUAAUUGUGUGCCAGGCUAGAAGGAGUAAACAGAAAAAGAAACAAACAAAGACACAGACAAGAGCACUCAGAGAGCUAACAACCCCCGACGGGGAACAGCAAUGCUAAAACUGAUGUUAUUUAUGCUGAUGUCAUCAUUCGUAAUACUGAAACCCCCAAUAAUGACGUCUGCACUGUUUUCAUAGAUCAUUUGUGCUGAUGUCAGCAUUGUUA
ensembl:lncRNA